rnacentral:lncRNA from 1 species
GGCCCAGUUAACUGAAUUUAGGGACCACAAGCUUAUAAGAACAAAGAAGGGAACUGAUGGAGUAGAGUAUUUAUUAAUUCCUGUUGAUAAUGGAACAUUGACUGAUUUCUUGGAAAAGGAAGAAGAGGAGGCUUGAAGCUUUCCUUUAUUCUUGAAUCUCCCAUGGAAGGGUUGUACCCCAGCUGCCACUCCUCUAGUUGAAAGUGUUGUGUUUACAUCUGACAUUAAAUUAUUUUUCCAGCAUACAAGAUUUAAAUUUGGGAAGGGGGGGAUGUCCUCAAUUAGAACUUUUUGAUCAGCCUGGCUGGUACCGUCUAGUACUAUGCAGCGGUCCUCAAGUUGGAGAAAAUGUGCCUUUCAUUCAUUACCUCUCUGGAGACUUCUUGCUGGAAUGAACAGUGUGCUCAGGGACUAUUUGGAACUGGAUGUUUUUGAAUUAUUUUAUACUUAGAGAUAUUCUGAAUUUUUUGAGGGCCUUUUAACACUCCCCGAGCUGAUUGUUUGCAAGUGUGUUUGUUCCAGAGUGUGGAAGUAUAAAGACAUGGGCAUCACGUAAAUUGGUUUUGUUUGCUAUUCUGUGUGUCAGAACCAACGAGUGUAAUGGAGAGGGCAGGUCAUCUCUUAUUGUUUCUAAAACAACUUAAAAGGUGUAGAUUGGGAAGAGGUGAGUGAUCCAGCUUUCUCCUUUUGGAUUGAGGCUAUGUACUUGGUGGGGGCAGGGGAGGGAAUAUAUUAUAAUACUAUUCAGUUGGGAUAAUGGGAAAAACAGAGUAUAUAGGGUAUCUACCCAGCCUAGAAAGCACAGGAACAAUACGUCAUAUAUUUGGAACAGUUAUUGUCUGUGCCAUGACCUUCAUGAUACCAGUGAGAAGCCAGGCUAGAGAAAUAAAAUCCUGA